CCUACGGGAGGCAGCAGUAAGGAAUAUUGGUCAAUGGGCGCAAGCCUGAACCAGCCAUGCCGCGUGCAGGAAGACGGCCCUACGGGUUGUAAACUGCUUUUGUACCGGAAUAAACCUCUUUACGUGUAAAGAGCUGAAUGUACGGUAAGAAUAAGGAUCGGCUAACUCCGUGCCAGCAGCCGCGGUAAU
rnacentral:rRNA from 1 species